UUUGUAGGACCUGAGGAACAACAGGUGAGGCUCGUCUGCAUUCCCAGAUUUAGCGAGUCUGGAGUUGCUGUUAUGCUAAAUUUGAGGGAUUUGAAUUGCCAUGCUCUGAAUUUCUCAGCAGAUCUGGACUCCUGACUGCAUAUUUGACAUAUAUUUUCAUCUGCUAUUACUGAUGAUCCACCAUAUAUCAUAGUGAAUAUAUGCAAUGUUGUAAGUUUAAAGAACAAACAACUCAUGCAACCUGAUCUUCUGCUUUGAUUGAUUAGAACUCCACGCAGAAAUUACCAGCUUAUGAGGUGAUUCUUACUGGAUCUUUGUCAUGGAAAGAGAUUCAUAAAAUUAAAUGUUGCAAAUCUAAGGAUGCUCUGGUGUAUGAGUGGCCUCACUUUUAGAGAGUGAUUUUAGA